CUUUAUCUGCUGCUUGUGUUGAUCUUCCAGAGAACGGCAGCUGACCAGAUCUUGCGAGAGUUGCAGAACAAUCCAGAUCUGAAGACGAAAUUCUUCGCUUUGUAGGUUAGAUCGAAGCAUUGAGAGCGUUUCCCGUCUUUAUGUUUACAUUGCAUCUGCUGCAUUGGAUCAACAUCUCUGCAGACAUAUGUGUUGAAUCAGAUACCUAGUAAGGACUUGGGCAUUGUAGGAUGUCGAAAAAUCUUUAAGUGCAGUUCUUCAAGGAGAAAGAGAGGUCUGGGUUGCAACUUGCAGGGACGUGGGGGCAAAGGCCGCUCUGUACCAUUUUGUUGUUUUGUCUCUGCUCUCCCUCAGUUUCCUUUCGGCCCACUUCGAGAGUGAUUCUGAUUCUAAAACCAAAAUUGUUUGAUUUAAUGUAUGGCUCACAGUUCGACGCCCACUCUACUACAUGCAUUUCAUGGGUAUAUACAUUACAUUACAUACAUACAUACAUACAUUGUGUAGUACAGUACAAUCAUGAAGGUAUCGAGUGAAAUAAGCUUUAUGUUCCUCCCCAUGUUUCCAUGAUAUUUGUGCUUCCCUUUCAUUUUUUUUUUUUGCUGUGUUCUUCCUGGUGUGUGUUUAGUACAUGCCAAAAUAUAUGAAAUCUAUGGUUAUAAUUCACGUGCUCUCGUACGGUCACUUACAUCGUACGAUCGACAUGAAUAUGAGGUAAUUAGAAUCAUGGAUUUCUUGAUAUGGAAACGUCGCAGAAACAAAGCUUCCAACCAAUUGCUGCCCUUGCAUCAAUCCACCAUGAUCUCUCGAGUCACACUGUGAGAGAGAUCAAAAUCAAAUGCAUCUAAACCUAUUAUAUGUUAUUAUCGUUUCCCUGCAUUCACUUAGAGAAAGAGUAAGAAUUUAUGCCCUUUUUUUCACAAAUCUAUUACGCAAUAUAAACUAUAAGUAUUAUAUGUGAAUAUGCUAGAAUUCUUAUUAAUAUAUAUAAAAUAUGUUCAGGGAGGAGAAAGGGAAUAACCCCGAGAUCUUGCAUUGCGCAUGGCUUCUAGGAAUGAUGAUGAGGUAUGUGAUGAAGAAAAUAUUGAAGGAUAUAAUGUAGAUGGGCAAGAGGAUCAUUUUCAGUAUGAAGGUACUGAGCAUGUUGAUUCAGAGGUUUAUUGGGAUUCAUAAUAUAUAUUCAAUGAGAAUGCUGAGGGUCAUUUGAAUGAAGAAGAUGAGCAUAUCGGUGAUAGAGCAGAUCCCGAAAAUGGAGAGCAUAUAGUUGUGAGAUUAUCACCAACAACAGCGGAUGUGGUCAUCUCUAGUGAUGAAGAUGAAGGCUAUAUUUCAGAAGAGCUAGUGGACGAGUGUAUCUCUGAUGAUGAGAAGAGUGAAGAGGAGUUCAGAAAGUACCCCGAGUUUGAUGAGAAUGCCACAUUUGGGGAGGUUCAAUUACAAUUAAACAUGUUAUUCCCGAACUUAAUUAUGUUCAAGAAAGCUGUGGCAAAUUAUAAUAUAGCAGUAGGAAGGGUAUUCAAGUUUAUGAAGAAUGGCAACGAAAGGGUUAGGGCAAAGUGUAGAUCGGACGGGUGCAAAUGGGAGAUCUUCUGUUCUUGGAGUAAUGAGGUGAAAACUUUCAAAGUAAAGAAGUUCGUAGAGCCACAUACUUGUGCUAGGGGAUUCAAAAACAAGCAAGCUAAUAAGAAGUGGUUGGCUACUCAGCUUGUUGAUGAAUUAA